rnacentral:rRNA from 1 species
ACUCCUACGGGAGGCAGCAGUGGGGAAUCUUGGACAAUGGGCGCAAGCCCGAUCCAGCCAUGCCGCGUGAGUGAUGAAGGCCCUAGGGUCGUAAAGCUCUUUCGCCAGAGAUGAUAAUGACAGUAUCUGGUAAACGAAACCCCGGCUAACUCCGUGCCAGCAGCCGCGGUAAUACGGAGGGGUUAGCGUUGUUCGGAAUUACUGGGCGUAAAGCGCGCGUAGGCGGACUGGAAAGUUGGGGUGAAAUCCCGGGGCUCAACCCCGGAACUGCCUCCAAAACUAUCAGUCUAGAGUUCGAGAGAGGUGAGUGGAAUUCCGAGUGUAGAGGUGAAAUUCGUAGAUAUUCGGAGGAACACCAGUGGCGAAGGCGGCUCACUGGCUCGAUACUGACGCUGAGGUGCGAAAGUGUGGGGAGCAAACAGGAUUAGAUACCCUGGUAGCGACUGA